GACCCCACUUGUGGGUGGGGAUGGCUUGUGUUUUCUCACUCCUUCCCAUCUGGACUCAACUCCCUUCAGGAGAGUUCCUAUUUCUUGUCAGCCAGAAGCCACUGUGGUGUUUGCCCCUCCAGGCAUGCUCAGUGUUCUGGCCAGGCUUUGACUUUCAGACAGGCAGCAAUCUGCCAACGGAGCAAGUCCCCAGUGCCCAGGCCCCUUUAAAUCGGGCCGGCCGGUUGCCAGGCAACAGUGUGGCCCGAGCUGGCGCUGCACUGCCGAGGCUCUGCCCAGAGCCUGCCGGCCAGGCAGGAUCUUGGUGGCAGGCACCGAAAGAGGGGCUGCCGCCUGCUGGUGGUGGCCGGCUCCGGGGAAGAGGGGACAGGGCUCCCCAGACCGCACCCACACUUACAGAGCCCCACGCUGGAGCUGCGAGCUUUGGGAAGGAGAAGGAAGAGGGCAUGGUAGUGGGGGUGUGGAAGGAGGAGUGGGUCAAACCUGGCCAGUCCCUCACCAGCGACAGAGUCGAGACAGGGGAGGUGCAGUGGGGGCUCCAGCAGCGCCCCAACUCGGGCCACCUUCUCUCUGCUGGAAGCACCGACUGGCAAGAGUUUCAGUUAACCAUUCACAGAGAAAACCUUGGAACUAUGCAUACAAAGGUACAGCUUUAUAGCAAGAAUGUGACUCCCAUACUAAUAAAGUCUCAGCCUUUGGAAUUAAGGGGACUUCGUAUCUUUUCUUCCAGGAGGAAUAACUUCACACUAAUGACAAAAGAUUAGGGGUAAUAACCAUCCAGGGUUCCCAGUAUUCAGUGUACUUUGUUUCCCUCUCCAUAUCUGCCACACAACAGAGAAGUGGACACUUAGCCCAUAUGUUAGACCUCUGAAUUAAGGCAAAAUUCAGAAUCAUUUCCCUUUCAAUUUUUUCCCCAAUUAACUGCAUGCUGAGGGGGUCAAGGCCUAGGCUCCAGCUCUUUGCUAAAGUGGCUCUUGACAUGUUCAUUAAUUACAAGCAUGUUGCCUCCUUUGCCACUGGUGGCUCAUUUGUCCCAUAGAUUUUUUUCCAUUUAGUGUAUUGGUACAUUUUAGGCAUACAAUGCAGUUACAUUCAUCAUUGGGAUCUUGUACCUUUACAUGAUGUAUCUUGGUUCUUAUUUUUUCCCCAUUCCCCUGCCCUCCCUUCACCCCCUCCACCCUUCCCUAUUUACAAAGACUUCACUUCCAUGUUUUUCCUUUUCUCAUAUGUUUUUCUUUUCCCUUCUUUCCUUUCCCCUUCCCCUCCCACUUCCCCUAUCCCUUUAGACAUUUUCUGCCUAUUUCACAAUAUCAAUUAUACAUUUUGAUUCUUAUUUACACUUUUAGUUUUUCACACCAGAGAAACUAUUCAGUAUUUAGACAUGUGUGUCCUAUUUAUUUCACUUAAGUGUAUUGUCCCAUAGAUUUUUCAAGUGAGGAGAUAUUGAGUUUGACUAAAAUGUCACCAUGAUUU
rnacentral:lncRNA from 1 species